rnacentral:lncRNA from 1 species
AGGAGGCCGUCCAUGUCGAAGAUGACGUGCGAGAUGCUGGCCCUGGGCACGGGCGCGUGCCCCUCGCCGGAGUCCACCGAUGCCAUUGGCGCGCGAGAGAGGGAGAGAGAUCUGGGGAAUCUCGGCAUGCGGAUCUCGCGUGGGCAUGAUACAUGUGCAUUUGUGACUGGUCACUCGCCAGGUUACUAAUGGCGCACCACCUACAAAUGCGCCAUUAGUAACCCUGGUUACUAAUGG